AGUGAACGCUGGCGGUAGGCCUAACACAUGCAAGUCGAACGGCAGCACAGUAAGAGCUUGCUCUUACGGGUGGCGAGUGGCGGACGGGUGAGGAAUACAUCGGAAUCUACUUUUUCGUGGGGGAUAACGUAGGGAAACUUACGCUAAUACCGCAUACUACCUACGGGUGAAAGCAGGGGAUCUUCGGACCUUGUGCGAUUGUAUGAGCCGAUGUCGGAUUAGCUAGUUGGCGGGGUAAAGGCCCACCAAGGCGACGAUCCGUAGCUGGUCUGAGAGGAUGAUCGGCCACACUGGAACUGAGACACGGUCCAGACUCCUGCGGGAGGCAGCAGUGGGGAAUAUUGGACAAUGGGCGCAGGCCUGAUCCAGCCAUACCGCGUGGGUGAAGAAGGCCUUCGGGUUGUAAAGCCCUUUUGUUGGGAAAGAAAAGCAGCAGGUUAAUACCCCGCUGUUCUGACGGUACCCAAAGAAUAAGCACCGGCUAACUUCGUG
rnacentral:rRNA from 1 species